UACAUCUGCCCCACAGUGUGUUACUUAUGUGUUGCUGUAUCUUAACAUGAUUCACGUUACUAUAUCUGUCUUUUAGGUGAUGGAGGAUAUGGCUGUUACUCUUGGCUUCUAACUCCAUUGUCCCGACCUGAUACCCCUGCUGAACACAAUUACAAUAAUGCACAUAAGUCCACGCGGAAUGUGAUAGAAAGAUGUUUUGGUGUGCUGAAAUCUAGGUUUCGGUGUCUGGAUAAGUCUGGUGGACUUUUGUUGUAUAGUCCCUCCAAGGUGACUCAAAUUGUGUUCUGCUGCUGCUUUCUUCAUAACAUGUGUUUGCAACAACAUCUGCCACAUGUUGAGGAGGAGGCGGAGGAGGAGGAAGAAAGCAGCCAGCAAGCAGAGGAAUUAGAGACAUCUGGUGAUACUUGGAGUACUGAUGUAGGAAGGCAGGUUAGGCAACAGAUCAUAAAUCGUUAUUUCUAAGCAUCUUAUACCCAAUGUCAUACUGUAUGACUCAAGUGGACAUACAUAUCUUUACUGGAUGUGGACAAGGACAUUUAGUUUGGAUUCCAUUUCAGCUUUUACUUACUGCGUUUGAUACUCACAAUCAAGAUGAGGGGAGUGUGGAUGACGUCUUGGAGGUGUGUCCAUAAUUUGGAGUGGGGGCACCGAACAUACGG